GCCUAUCACCACACCCCCCUGAACGCACCUGUUCUGGUCUGAGCUUGGAAGCUAAGCAGGGUCGGGCCUGGUUAGUACUUGGAUGGGAGCAUUCCAUUUUCAAAGACAAGGCUAUGUUAAAGG
rnacentral:rRNA from 1 species